AUCCUUCACGCUGUUCUCUUUUGAUAGACCAUAGUAACAGACGUCUGCCGUGAUUUGCUGGGACAUUCACGACGAGGCUUGUAAAUAUAUCGAACUCGAUUCUCCUUAAGAAAAAAACUUCUAUUACAUUUUGAUCAGUACGUGCAAUAAUUAUUGGUAAUAAAAUUUUCGUAAAAAAAGACAUUAUAUUGAUCAAACGUAACUGCUGGAAAUUUAGUCAAGACAGCAAACAAAAAGAUGAGUUUUAAAAUAAGCUUGUUGUUCGUACUUGCUACCUUCAGCAUUUUUAGGCAUGAGACACUAGCAGUGCGGUGGGGAAAUACGUGGGUGAUACCUGAAAUAUGUUACGAUAAAUUACACCAUGGUGAUCCUAAUUCUUUUUCUUCCAAGAAAAUAGUGAGGUAUUGGUUUAAUGUGACCGAUGGUGAAUGUAAAUUUUUUGAAUACACAGGUUACGGAGGCAAUAAAAAUAAUUUUCCAACUUA